rnacentral:rRNA from 1 species
CGGGUGCGCUGAUCCAGCCGGGCCUUUCCCUCUGUGGAACCCCAUGGCCUUCACUGGCUGUGGUGGGGAAACAGGACUUUUACUUUGAAAAAAUUAGAGUGCUCCAGGCAGGCCUAUGCUCGAAUACAUUAGCAUGGAAUAAUAGAAUAGGACGUGUGGUUCUAUUUUGUUGGUUUCUAGGACCGCCGUAAUGAUUAAUAGGGACAGUCGGGGGCAUCAGUAUUCAAUUGUCAGAGGUGAAAUUCUUGGAUCUAUUGAAGACUAACUACUGCGAAAGCAUUUGCCAAGGAUGUUUUCAUUGAUAAGGAACGAAAGUUAGGGGAUCGAAGACGAUCAGAUACCGUCGUAGUCUUAACUAUAAACUAUGCCGACUAGGGAUCGGACGAUGUUAUUCUUUGACGCGUUCGGCACCUUUCGAGAAAUCAAAGUGCUUGGGCUCCAGGGGGAGUAUGGUCGCAAGGCUGAAACUUAAAGAAAUUGACGGAAGGGCACCACCAGGGGUGGAACCUGCGGCUUAAUUUGACUCAACACGGGGAAACUCACCAGGUCCAGACACAGUGAGGAUUGACAGAUUGAGAGCUCUUUCUUGAUUCUGUGGGUGGUGGUGCAUGGCCGUUCUUAGUUGGUGGAGUGAUUUGUCUGCUUAAUUGCGAUAACGAACGAGACCUUAACCUGCUAAAUAGCCCGUACUGCUUUGGCAGUUCGCCGGCUUCUUAGAGGGACUAUCGG